rnacentral:lncRNA from 1 species
AUUGAUGUUAAAUUGGUUGAUGCUAAUGGAAGGGUUCUUAAUCGAAAAUCCAUGGGUGAAGAAUUGUUUUGGGCUAUCCGAGGAGGUGGAGGAAAUACCUUUGGAGUUGUUCUUGCUUGGAAAGUAAAGUUAGUCCCUGUUCCACCUGUUGUAACUGUGUUUACAGUUAACAAGAACUUGGAACAAAAUGCAACCAAAAUCUUCCAUCGAUGGCAGUACAUUGCUCACAAGUUACCCAAUGAGUUAUUUACGGCUGUUUGGGUAAUGAAGGUGAAUUCCAGUCAAGUAGGGAAGAAAACAGUUCAAGCUGGUUUUAGGGGCAUGUUUCUUGGUGGGGUUGAUGAGUUGAUUCCAUUGAUCCAACACGAGUUUCCAGAGCUAGGACUUGCCAAAGAGAAUUGUACCCAAAUGAGUUGGGUUCAAUCUAUUCUUUACUUUGGAGGACUUCCAAUUCAACCCGUGAAUAUUUUGCUUAAUAGAAGUGCUCUUCCAGUAUCAAGCCUCAAAGCCAAAACGGACUUCGUCAGGGAACCGAUGUCUGAAACUGGAAUCGAAGGGUUCAUGAACAUGUUUCUUGAGGAAGAAGCUGACUUUGCUAUAACGAUGAUAGAGGCUUUCGGAGGCAGAAUGGAUGAAAUCCGGGAAAAUGAAUUACCUUACCCACAUAGAGCAGGCAUCUUGUUCGAAUCCACUUACAUUGUCCAAUGGACAAAUGAAGCAGAAGCGGGAAGGUACAUAAGCUGGAUCCGAAGACUCUACAGUUAUAUGGCCAGUUAUGCUUCGAAAUCUCCGAGAGAAGCAUAUUAUAAUUACAAGGAUCUAGAUCUUGGAACUAACAACAUUGUUGGUUACACAAGUUACGAACAAGCUAGCGUUUGGGGUCUUAAAUAUUUCAAGAAUAACUUUAAAAGAUUGGUGCAGAUAAAGACCAAGGUUGAUCCAAUGAAUUUCUUUAGAAACGAGCAAAGUACCCCUCCUCUUUGAUCUCCAUGAAAGAAGAAAGGUCGUCAGGGUUGAAGAUUUGAGUUUUUUUCUUAAACAUGAAAUAAUAUUUGGGUGAAAAGUAAUACUAUAUUGAAAAAUAAUUUGUUUCUUUGUCACUAUAUAUGUCAUGAUGAAUAAUUUAGUGCACAAUGUAUUAAUUAAAUUAUAAAUUUGUCUUUAUUCUAAAAUAGUUUUUGUGCGAUGAAUGUAUUUGAAAGGUCCCUGCAUUAUAGGGAUUGAAUCACAUGGCUUGUCAUUUUAAUUUUUUUAUUUAAUAAAAAUUACAAUAAAAAAGGAUCUGAAUAAGGUAAUAGGUAUGGGGUGUGCCUCGCAUUUUCAGACCCUUUCAGGCACUUAUCGUUACCCUUGUCACAACACGAGGACUUUAGAAACAUAAUACCCCCAAUAGGCGAUGACAUCGUGACGAGGAGGUUUUCGAUGUCACGACAACGGAUGACAUCGUGGUGAGAUGAUUCGGGACACUGUGACAUGGCGACGUGUUCCCACAUAAAUCAGGUUUCUUUUCCCAGUCAAACUCUGGUUAUCCUCGAAAUAUUUUAAUCAGAUAUUCACACUCAUUUCAACAUAUAAAAGGGUUUUAGUAACCCUAGAAUUUCAACAUAUCUUCAUCACAUUAAGAUUAAGAGAGUUUAACGGAAUUUCGUGUUUUAGCCAGAGAACUUUUUUUUUUUCAAAGUUUUCUGUUAUGAUUAUCUCCAUCUUGUGCUCUUCGUUAUUUCCUUAUUAAGUAAAACCUACUUUGCUUGUGAUUUUUUAUCCUCUUCAUAGGGGGUUUUCCAUGUAAAUAUUUGUGUGCCCAAUUUUCUUUCUCUUUUUUGUUGCGUAUCGAUCCACAACAAACUGGUAUUAGAGCUUGGCUUGUUUUACACAAUCAAUUCGUUCAGGGAUGUCAACGAGAUAUGAUAUCGAGAAGUUCAAUAGCAUCACAAGCUUCAGUUUAUGGCAAGUCUGAAUAACAAUUAUUUUGAUUCAGUACGGCCUGAAGAAGGUCAUUGCAGGGAAAAAGCCCACAAAUAUGAAUCAGUCAGAAUGGGAUAAGCUUGAUAAGAAGACUUUGUCAACAAUUCAGUUGUGCCUCACAAAUAAUGUAUUGCAGGAAGUGUUUAUAGAGAAAAUUGCAACAACCUUAUGGAGUAAGUUAAAAACCCUAUACAUGACAAAGUUUUUGGCAAAUCGAUUGGUGUUGAAACGACACCUCUACACGUUUCGUAUAGCCGAAGAUGAGUACCUUAAGGGUCACAUUAGUCAAUUUGUUACUCUCUUGAAUAAUCUUAAAAACAUCGAGGUUAAUAUAGCUGAUGAAGAUCAGACUAUGUUAUUAUUGUGCUCUUUGCCCCCUUCGUAUAAGUUUUUCAAGGAGACCUUGAUUUAUAGUAGAGAUAAACUCUCGUUCAAGGAAGCGAAGCGAAACUUGUUGACCAAAGGCAGACUUGACAAUGAGUUUAGUUCGGAUAGCGAGUCAAAUGAGCAAGCCUUGGUUUUUGGUUGCAAGAAGCAAGAAAACAUCAAAGUUGAGGAAUCGAGACAAAACAUGUGGCUACUGCAAGAAGUUAAGUCACAUUAAGACAAAGUGUUAUAAGUUGUAGAAAAUCAAAUACUAGUUCAUUGUAUGCAUGACUUUUUAAGAUGCAUGAUUCUGAUGGGUACAUAAAUAUAAUAUAUAUAUAUGACAUGCAUAUAUUUUUACAAUCAUGAAAAAGAGAAAGAAAGAAGUUAAUGAAAUUUUAAGCAAUGCAAGGAAAUAAUGUUUCAGUUGGUGCCUUAAGCCAAAAACACAAGUUUGUUCGAUGAUUUGAAAUCCAAAAAACCAUGUCUAUUUUGUAAACUUCCAUACAUGAAAAGUUAUGACUUUUCAAAAGGCACUUAUGUACUUAUUGGUACAUUAUAUAUAGUUGUUUGGUUGGAGUUGAAUUAAUUUAAUUCAUUCCAUCCAAUUUCUUAGUGAAAUUUUUAGUACAACAUUAUUCUUUCUUUUUAAUGAUAUUCAAUUUGAUAUAUGAUAUUAUUUAUUUAUUUAAAUAAUGAUAUUAGUGACCAACAUUUGGAUAAUAUUGAUGAGACAUCAUUUUCAUUGUUAAAAAUCAAAGUUUGUAGAUGAUCAUAUAAUAUAAAUAAAUUUAGUUGUUGUUUUUAUUAAGUAACCUUAAGCUAAACGAGUUUUAUAUAUGAUUGCACAUUUUUUAUUCUAUAUCAUAAAGUUUGGACUAGAAGUGAUUUUGACUAGAAAUUAAUUAAGUUAUAUGCAUAUGUAUGGUUAAUUUUUCUAAUCAAUGUAGAAUAGUGGAAAAAUUGGCUUAUAUAAUAAUAUCAUUAUUCUGUUAUGAAAUCUUCUAGUGAGAAUAUAUAACGUGAUAAUCAUAUAUUUAAAAUCGAGAUUAUAUUGUGCAUAUUUAUAAUGGUGCAUAUGGUUUUUUAUACAUGGCUUGGAUAUGAUCCAUAAUCUCACGAUUCUAUAAAAUUUGAGAUGUAGUAAAUUUUGAAAUUCACUUUGGAAAUGUUUUGAAUGCUUCGAUGUGGCAUGUCGGAUCCGACCAUAAUGUCUGGGCCGGGUUUGGGGUGCUACAACUAUAAUUUGACAACAGUAAAAAUGAUAUCCUUGAUAGCAUUCUUUUGCGAAAGAAUGAGUAAUUGAACAUGGUGGGGAUGUUGGUCUUGUAAAUUUUCAAGACAUAAGUAAAUAUAAAGUUUCACCAUGUGAUAUGGAUAAUUAACAUAAUUAUGUUGAAAUUUUGGAAAUUGAGAGAUAAGGUACAAGCUUAUAAUAUUUGAGUCGCCAAUGAUGGAAACUCAACUCAAUGUUUGGUAUAAUGUCAAGUCUUGAUUCAAUAAGACAAAUUACAUCAUCAGUACGUGGCUGUUAGCACUAUAAAAAAUAUAUAUUAUAUCAUUUCAAGGGAAAAGUGCUAGGCAUCUAUAAUGAUAAAGGGAAGGAUGAGUAUUAUACUCUUAAUAGACCCAUAGCAUAAAUAUGUUAGAGUGUUAUAAUUAUGAGAAUACUCUUGAUGGGAUCUACCUAUAUGAGUGGAAAUGUGACUGCUUAUAGAAGCUCAAGCACUUGACUCUGAUAACACUUAUAAAAAGAGGUUAUAGACACAUGGCUAUAAUAAUGUCUCUGGAUACUAUGCAUUGGCUGGUGUUGAAAUCAUUGUGUAAAAUGCAUUUGGUUAAUCAAAUGGAAUAGUUGAUUCAAAGCAUAGUCUACCAUGCAAUUUCAAUUAACUUUAACAUGUUUUCAGUAAGUGAAGGUUCAACUGUAAGACACAUUCACUUAUUCAAUUGAUUUCUAAAAUUAUCAAAAUCUAGAAUAUUUUGAAAAUAGAGGAGAUUGUUGGAACAUUUUUAAAUUAUAUAGUGUUCCAAUAAGUGACAAAUGAAAAGUGAUAAAUUACCCAAAGUUUUGUCAAUUAAUUAACAAUAAAAGGUCAUAAUUAUUCGAGUAGAUAUAUAUUGAAUAAUUAUGUUUAUGGCUAAAGAUAUGACUAUCCAUUUGGGGUAGUUAUAUCCCUAUGAAAAGACAUGAGACCUCCUAUAAAUAAGAGUGAAAUUUCAUUUGUAGGACACACCAGAAAACACAUCAAAAAGUUUUUUUUUCUAUUCUCCCACCGUCUUUUAUUUUUCUUGAUUGUUCUAUAAAGAAUUGUUACAGAAAUUCUUUAUAAAACUUGAUAUUCUUGUUAUGCUUCACUCAAUGCUCAGUGGAAUGUUUCCAUUAGUACAAAACGCCGACAUUUAUUGGGCUUUAUUGAAUCCUCGAAGUUUAUUUGCCAAUAAUUCUUUUACACACCUUAAUAUAGGUGAAAGCGAAUAACACCUUAAAAAAGUGACAUUGAUACACGCAUUAAAAUAUUCAUUAACUUCUCAUAAAUUUAAUUUUAUCCUCACGCUCUAAUACCACAAAUUAACAAUAAAAUCUGAAAGAAUACAUUCCCCACUAAUCAGAAAAGAGAAAACCCAACCUGGAGAUUGUGAAACAUGCUUCAGAAAAAUACAUACCAACAUAAGAUUGUUUAGCCAACAACAAAAAUCUCAAAACUCUUUUAAACAAAUUUCUUUGCCUAAAGCAUAAUUAUUCUAAAAUAGUUUUUGUGCUAUGAUUCGACAUUUAAUUUUUUUAUUUAAUAAAAAUAUCAAUCUUAAAUAAGGUAGUAGGUAGCUAAGUGAUUUUAUUUUAUUAAAAAUAUUAUAUUUGAAAUAAAUUAUUUUUUUAAUAAAAUAAGAUAUUUAAAAUACCAUAUUUUACUUUUAUCUAAAAAAAUUUAAAAUAAUAUAUUAAAAAUAAAUAAAAUUUUUAAAAUUAAAAUUCACUUUUAUCAAACCACAUAAUUGUUAAGAAAUGGCUUAAAAUUGGUAGUGGAUUGUUGUUGUUGGUAGUGGGUUGUUGGUGGUAGUGGAUUAGUGGAUGGUUGUUGGUGUCCAUUUUCAACCACAAAUCUUUGCCAAAGUUUUGGACAAUUAUGUCCUUGAACUCUCUUAUAAAUAGAGAGGUUCAUUAGCCAUAUUUAUCAUCCCAAACCAAGAGAGAGCAAAGCUUGUUCUUUGAAAGCUAGGAUUUUAGCUUUCGGGUUUUCUAUAGGGGUUGAGAGUUGUGAGGUUCUCGGGUUGUGUCUUGAGUGUAAAACACUUGUAAUCUUCAUCUUGUUAUAGUGAAAUUUCUUUUCGCCUCUGCCCGUGGACGUAGGCAUUAAAGCCGAACCACGUAAAUCCUUGUGUUCACUUUAUUUUUCGUUUCGGUCAAUUUACUUGUAGUCAUAUCGGAGUUCUCGAAUCGAUCCUUUCCGCAACAAAUUGGUAUCAGAGCGUAGUUGAAGGAGUGAUAAUAUUUUCUGAAUUGCCCUGUGACUGCAGCUUUGUCUGAUCUUUCACAUCAGGAAGAAAAUAUUAUCAUUCAUUCAAAGGUUCCAAAUUAUGGCUACAAGUGUUUCAUCGACUAAGUAUGAUGUCGAGAAAUUUACCGGGAAAAAUAGUUUCAGUUUAUGGCGCAUCAAGAUGCGGGCAGUGCUGGUUCAACAAGGAUUGCUAAAAGCAUUGUCUGGUAAAGAUAAAUUACCAAGCACGCUUUCGGAAGAGCAAAAGGAUGACAUGCUAGAAAGAGCACAUAGUGCUAUUCUGCUAUGUCUAGGAGAUGAAGUGCUACGAGAAGUAGCGGAUGAGAAAACCGCGUCCGGUUUGUGGCUCCGGUUAGAGAGCAAGUACAUGACGAAGUCAUUGACGAACCGGCUCUACCUCAAGCAAAGACUCUAUGCCCUGAAGAUGGAGGAAGGUACACCUGUUUCCCAGCACCUGGAUAAAUUCAAUUCCAUUAUCAUGGAUUUGAAUAAUAUCGAUAACAAAAUCGAUGAUGAGGACCAAGCAAUAAUUGUUUUGUGUUCUUUGCCUCCCUCGUAUGAGAAUUUUGUUGAUACAAUGAUGUACGGUCGUGAUGACCUGACUCUAGAGGAGGUGAAAAAUGCCUUAAGUUCCAGUGAGUUGAGGAAGAAAAUCACUGGUAAGGUGGUCGAAAACAAUGAAGGCGAAGGCUUGGUUGCUCGAGGAAGAUCCAAGGCAAAGGGUGGAAGUUCAAGUAAAAGCCAUCCUAGAUCGCAGUCCAAGAAGAGAAUACAGUGCUACUACUGUAAGAAGUACGGGCACAUGAAGGUAGAUUGUCCGAAAAGGAAGGAGAAAUCAGAAUCACAGGAGCAACAAAAUGAUCGUGCGAAUGUAGCUGAUGCAGAUUCUUCAAGUGAUGCCGAGAUCGUUCUUGCAGUAUCCGACUCUUACGCUGGUGGGAGAUGGAUUCUUGAUACGGGAGCUACAUUUCAUAUAAGUACUUCGAAAGAUGCAUUCUCAACAUACGAGAAGCAUUCUGGUUCAGUACUAAUGGGAAAUGACCACGCAUGUCAAGUCAUGGGGAUUGGCACAGUUCGUAUAAAGAUGUUUGACGGUAUUGUUAGAACUCUAACUGAUGUUCGGCACAUUCCAGAAAUGAAGAAAAAUUUGAUCUCUUUGAGUACGUUGGACAAGAAAGGCUUUCGGUACUCUGCUGAAGGUGGAGUUCUCAAGGUAUUCUCGGGUGCUUUGACUGUGAUACGUGGUAAUUUGGAGCGGGGCCUUUACUUCCUCGAUGGUUCCUCGGUUACAGGUGUUGCGGGAGUGUCAUCAUCAGAUGAUCUAGAUUCUGACACCACGAAGUUAUGGCAUAUGCGGCUCGGGCAUAUGAGCGAGAGAGGCUUAUCGGUGCUAAGCAAACGAGGAUUAUUGUCUGGGCAGUGUACAGGAAAGUUGAAUUUCUGUGAGCACUGCGUCUUCGGUAAGCAGACUCGGGUAAAGUUCAGCACUGGGAUUCACAAGACAAAAGGCACAGUGGAUUACUUCCAUUCUGACCUUUGGGGGCCUUCUCCGACAAUUUCUAAAGGUGGUUACAGAUAUCUGCUUACCUUUAUCGAUGAUUACUCGAGAAAGGUUUGGGUGUAUUUUCUGAAGAGCAAGUAUGAGGUUCUCAUCAACUUCAAGCAAUUUAAAGCUUUGAUCGAAAAUCAAACAGGAAAGAAGAUCAAGCGAUUCCGGACGGAUAAUGGCUUGGAGUUUUGCUCAGGUGAAUUCAAUGAGUUCUGCAAAAAUGAAGGAAUAGUGAGACACCGCACUGUUCGUCGAACACCACAACAAAAUGGAGUUGCAGAACGCAUGAAUAGAACUCUCUUGGAGCGAGCUCGUUGCAUGCGAUCAAAUGCUGGGCUCGGUGAAGAAUUUUGGGCUGAAGCUGUUAAUACUGCUUGUUAUUUGGUUAACAGAUCUCCGUCAACAGCUAUUGAGCUGAAGACUCCUGAGGAAGUAUGGUCUGGUUCUCCUGCUGAUUACUCUGGUUUAAGAGUGUUUGGCUGCCCUGCGUAUGCUCAUGUAAAUGAGGGAAAACUCAAACCGAGGGCGAAGAAAUGCAUAUUUCUUGGAUACGGCCAAGGGGUGAAAGGAUACAGGUUGUGGUGUCCUGAUCCGGUUUCGUCCAAGUUCAUCAUCAGCAGAGAUGUGACUUUUGAUGAGUCAUCCAUGCUUCGAUCCACCACAAAUUCCCGGGAAAAGGAGGAGUCAGAUAGAAUGGGAGAUCACGGUGUUGAGAAGCAGGUGGAGUGUCAGGUGGACGCUCCAAUUCCUACGGAAGGUACUUCAGUCCAGGAUGAUCAAGUUGAGGUGCAAGAUUCCGAUGAAGAUGAGUCACCUCAAGAAAAACCAUAUAGCAUUGCCACUGGAAGAACGAAGAGACAAAUCAAACCAAAUCCGCGUUACGCUAAUCUGGUGUCUUUCGCGCUCAGUGUGGCGGAGUCCAUUGGUAUAGAACCUUCCAGUUAUAAUGAGGCUGUCACGUGUGAUGAGUCGGCACAGUGGGCAAUUGCUAUGAGUGAGGAGAUAGAAUCUCUUCACAAGAACCAUACUUGGGAGUUGGUUAAGCCGCCAAGUAACCAGAAGAUAGUUGGUUGCAAAUGGGUCUUCAAGAAAAAGGAAGGCAUCCUAGGGGUUGAAGCAACUAGAUUCAAGGCACGAUUGGUUGCUAAAGGCUUCACUCAGAAAGAGGGGAUUGACUACAAUGAAGUUUUCUCCCCAGUCGUAAAGCAUUCUUCCAUUCGUAUAUUACUUGCCAUGGUGGCCAAGUCUGAUCUAGAACUUGAGCAGCUUGACGUAAAAACGGCGUUCUUGCAUGGUGAGCUCGAGGAAACAAUCUACAUGCGUCAACCAGAGGGUUUUACAGUUCCUGGUAAAGAAGACCAUGUCUGUCUAUUAAAGAAGUCUUUAUAUGGAUUGAAACAAUCCCCAAGGCAGUGGUACAAGCGGUUUGAUAGCUUCAUGAUUCAGCAUGGUUACACAAGAUGUGACUAUGAUGCUUGUGUCUAUCAUCGGAAGCUCUCAGAUGGUUCGCACAUUUAUUUGUUGCUGUAUGUUGAUGACAUGUUAAUUGCUUCCAAAAACAUGUCGGAAAUCAACAAGUUAAAGUCGCAGUUGAGUGGUGAGUUCGAGAUGAAGGAUCUGGGUGCUGCCAAGAAAAUUUUGGGCAUGGAUAUUCACAGAGAUCGCAAGGCGGGCAAGCUUCGUGUGUCGCAGAAGAACUACAUUGAAAAGGUUCUUCAACGCUUCGGCAUGGAUAAAGCGAAAACUGUGAGUACUCCGUUGGCACCACAUUUCAAACUCUCUGCAGAGUUGUCACCACAAUCUGAUGAAGAAAAGCAGCAAAUGUCUCACAUUCCAUACUCGAGUGCAGUUGGAAGCGUGAUGUAUGCAAUGGUUUGCACUCGUCCAGACAUUUCACAUGCAGUUAGUGUGGUCAGCAGAUACAUGAGUUGUCCUGGCAAGGAACACUGGCAGGCCGUGAAAUGGAUUCUCAGGUACUUGAGAGGUUCUGCAGAUUUAUGCUUGGUAUAUGAUCAGAGUGACUGCACGAGCAGUGUCACGGGCUAUGCGGACUCUGAUUAUGCUGGAGAUCUGGACAAAAGAAGAUCUCUGACGGGUUAUGUUUUCACUUAUUCUGGAGGAGCCAUUAGUUGGAAAGCUGUGUUACAGUCUACCGUAGCCUUAUCUACGACUGAGGCGGAAUAUAUGGCGUUAGCAGAAGCAGUGAAAGAAGCAUUGUGGAUGAAAGGUCUAGUAAGCAGUUUGGGUUUACAACAGGAUUUCACUGUUGUAUUUUGCGAUAGCCAGAGUGCCAUACAUCUGACUAAAAAUCAGAUGUUUCAUGAACGGACCAAACACAUUGAUGUCAGAUAUCAUUUUGUUCGGGAACAUGUUACGCAAGGUGACAUUGUUAUCAGCAAGGUUGCUACCGAGAAGAAUCCUGCAGAUAUGUUAACUAAGGUGAUCCCUGCAUAUAAGUUCAAGCAUUGCUUGGACUUGAUAGGUAUUCGGGAUUGAUUAGCGCCAGAGAGGCGUUUGGAAGAGGUGAUCCAGUUCACUAUGAUGUUCAGCUUGGUAAAUUUCAAGCCAAGGUGGAGAUUUGUUAAGAAAUGGCUUAAAAUUGGUAGUGGAUUGUUGUUGUUGGUAGUGGGUUGUUGGUGGUAGUGGAUUAGUGGAUGGUUGUUGGUGUCCAUUUUCAACCACAAAUCUUUGCCAAAGUUUUGGACAAUUAUGUCCUUGAACUCUCUUAUAAAUAGAGAGGUUCAUUAGCCAUAUUUAUCAUCCCAAACCAAGAGAGAGCAAAGCUUGUUCUUUGAAAGCUAGGAUUUUAGCUUUCGGGUUUUCUAUAGGGGUUGAGAGUUGUGAGGUUCUCGGGUUGUGUCUUGAGUGUAAAACACUUGUAAUCUUCAUCUUGUUAUAGUGAAAUUUCUUUUCGCCUCUGCCCGUGGACGUAGGCAUUAAAGCCGAACCACGUAAAUCCUUGUGUUCACUUUAUUUUUCGUUUCGGUCAAUUUACUUGUAGUCAUAUCGGAGUUCUCGAAUCGAUCCUUUCGACAUUUAAUUUCUUUAAACAAAUUUUUGUGCUAUAAAUUUCUUUGCCUAAAGCAUAAUUAUUCUAAAAUAGUUUUUGUGCUAUGAUUCGACAUUUAAUUUUUUUAUUUAAUAAAAAUAUCAAUCUUAAAUAAGGUAGUAGGUAGCUAAGUGAUUUUAUUUUAUUAAAAAUAUUAUAUUUGAAAUAAAUUAUUUUUUUAAUAAAAUAAGAUAUUUAAAAUACCAUAUUUUACUUUUAUCUAAAAAAAUUUAAAAUAAUAUAUUAAAAAUAAAUAAAAUUUUUAAAAUUAAAAUUCACUUUUAUCAAACCACAUAAUCAUAUUUAAUAAUUAAGUUUUACUAAUUUAACAUACAACUUUAUUUUUAUAUAAAUAUAGUAUUAAAAUUAAUUCAUUUCAUUUUAUAAAACAACAUAUAAUUUUUUCAAACCGAUUCAACUAACUUUAGUUGAGAAAACUAGUCUAAUCGAAUCAGCUUUAAUUCGAUCGAUUUAAUUGAUUUUUUCGAUUAAUUAACUUUGAAUUGGGGCUAUAUAGUUAUAUAUCUCUUAUAUAUAUAUAUUAUAAAAUAUAAAUAUUUUUUAAAAUAAUAUAAAUGAAAUCAAUUUUUUUAAUCAGUUCAAUUUUAAGAUUCAAAAAUCAAUAACAGAUGGAAUUAAAUAACUAAAUCAAAGUCAAAAGGGAUGAACCCACUGCACCAUCUACAUGGGAAUCGAAAAAACCAAAUGGAUGAAUUAAAUUGCUGUUCCCUAAAGUCAGAGUUUGAAUCCUAAAGAGCUGUCUUGAAGAGGGAUUGUAUUAUUUACCAUUCCAGGUAUGGGGGGCUUAGACUUUUGUCCCUAAUCUAUCGUUUUAAACCAACAUAUUUUAAUUUCCUUUUUCAAAAAUAAAAGAUAUGACUAAAUGAUAAAGGCGUAAAAGAAGAGGUUGUUAAAGUUGAAAUAUACUAAAAUUCGAUUCGUUUAGAAAAAAAUUGAAUUUAUUUUUAAACUUCAAGUUAAUCGAAUCAAGUUAUUUAAAUUAUUUGAGUCAACUCGAAUAAGUAAUUCGAGUUUCGAGUUCGAAACGAGUUGAAUUUUACAAUUCGAAUAAUAGAUUGAUGUAAAUACCCUUUUAGCCUCUACUAAGUUUGAAAUGAACAAAUUAGUCCCUCUCUCAACAAAAAUUACAAAAAAAAAUCUAAAAUCCAAAUAUUUAUAAAAAUUCCAAAAAUUUUAUUUUUUAAAAAAUUAUAAAAAUCUAAAAAAAUGUAUAAAGAAAGUUAAAAAAAUAAAAGAAAUUUUUUCUAGAAUAAUAAUUUUGAGGACCUACAUAAGUUACUUAAUGAUUCAAGUUUAUCAUACUAAAAUAUUUUAUUAUUAUUUUGCUUUGAUUUUUAAAUAUAUAUGGUUUCAAAUUUAUGUGCUCUAACAUGUAAUUAGUUAUAUUGUAACAAGAUUUUAAUUUGACUUGUUUAAUUUUUUUAAUUUAACUCGAACAAUUUCACUCAAUUUGACUCGAAUCGACUCGAAAAAAUUCUAAAUAGAGUUAGGGUGACAAAAUAGGACUUAUCAACUCAAUUAAUUCGAAAUUUUUUAACUUGAUUCAAUCGAACACUCACCCUUAAAUUCUUAUGUGAGAAAGUAUACUUCAACAAUAUCAAUGAUUAGUUAAUUGAAUCGUUGAUAGUGUGAUAAAUACUUUUAUUUUUUAUUUUUCACAUUGCCCCUAUUAAAUAGUUAUAUAUAUGCAACAUAGUAUUUCAAAAUUAGCGAAAUUACUAGAAAAAAGAUUAUUUACAUUAAGAGGAAUUCAAUCUAGAAUAUAAAGCUACCCAAAUCAACCGUUAUUUUGAUAUAAUAGUUUGAGGUAAUAUUUACACACAUUAAAUUUGAAAAAGUUUGAGGGACUAAAAUAAAAAUAAUUUAAUUUAGAGUUAUUAAUGAUGUAAUUUACCCUUUUAAUAAAAGAAAAAUUGUUUAUAGUCUAAUAGUUAUCUUAGAUUUAGCUAAACAAAAUUUGAUUCAAUUUAAAAAGAGGCAAAAACAUGUUUUUUUAGCAAAUAUACUGCAGAAAUAAUUAAAAUAUGAAAAGAAUAAAAGAAAUUAUAAAUAUAAAACAUCUCAAACAUAACUAUAAAUAAGGUAACUAAGUGUAACACAAUGCCAUGCUCACAACUGGCUCAAGAACAUGAAGUUCCUUCAAUUUUCUGUGCUUCCAUUUCUUAUGGUGAUAUUGUCAGUGAGUGGGGCAAAUUUAACUCAUCAUCCUCAUCGGGAUUUCCUUCGUUGCCUUUCUCUUCGUAUAGAAAACUCUUGUACCAUUACUUACACGCACAAUAAUCCCUCAUAUCCAUCAGUUUUGAAUGCUUCUAUUCAGAAUACUAGGUUCUCCACACCAACUACCCCUAAACCAUAUGCCAUUAUUACACCACGCAAAACAUCCGAUGUCCAAUCAACAAUUUUUUGUUCCAAAAACCAUGGCUUCCAACUUAGGAUUCGAAGUGGUGGUCAUGAUGUUGAGGGUGUUUCUUAUGUUUCUCAAGUUCCAUUUGUCGUCCUUGAUUUGGUCAACUUUCGAGAUGUUAAAGUUGACACAAAAAAUGAAGUUGCCUGGGUUCAAUCUGGUGCAACUACAGGUGAAUUAUAUUACGGGAUUGCUGCAAAGACACAAACGCUCGGCUUUCCCGCUGGUAUUUGCCACACUAUAGGCAUUGGUGGGCAUUUAAGUGGGGGUGGAUUUGGCAUAUUGGGCCGCAAAUAUGGUCUUGCUGCUGAUCAUAUAAUUGAUGCUAAAAUGGUUGAUGCUAAUGGAAGGGUUCUUCAUCGAAAAUCCAUGGGUGAAGAUCUGUUUUGGGCUAUCCGAGGAGGUGGAGGAAAUACCUUUGGAGUUGUUCUUGCUUGGAAAAUAAAGUUAGUCCCUGUUCCACCUGUUGUAACUGUGUUUACAGUUAACAAGAACUUGGAACAAAAUGCAACCAAAAUCUUCCAUCGAUGGCA